UACGGAGGUGGCAAGCGUUGUCCGGAAUUAUUGGGCGUAAAGCGCGCGCAGGCGGUCCCUUAAGUCUGAUGUGAAAGCCCACGGCUCAACCGUGGAGGGUCAUUGGAAACUGGGGGACUUGAGUGCAGAAGAGGAGAGUGGAAUUCCAUGUGUAGCGGUGAAAUGCGUAGAGAUAUGGAGGAACACCAGUGGCGAAGGCGACUCUCUGGUCUGUAACUGACGCUGAGGCACGAAAGCGUGGGGAGCAAACAGG
rnacentral:rRNA from 1 species